rnacentral:ncRNA from 1 species
UUUCUUUGGGGCGGGGUGCAAUUCCCCACCGGCGGUAAAAGUCCGCGAGCGCAAGCUGAACCGGUGCAAUUCCGGUACCGACGGUUAAAGUCCGGAUGGAAGAAGAA